rnacentral:rRNA from 1 species
GACGAACGCUGGCGGGAUGCCUUACACAUGCAAGUCGAACGGAGUGGCGAACGGGUGAGUAAUGAAUCGGAACGUGCCCAGUAGCGGGGGAUAACUACGCGAAAGCGUAGCUAAUAACGCAUACUUUUGGAGCGGUCGAUAUCGGAUUAGCUAGUUGGGGGGGUAACGGCUCACCAAGGCGACGAUCCGUAGCCGGGUUGAGAGGACGACCAGCCACACUGGGACUGAGACACGGCCCAGACUCCUACGGGAGGCAGCAGUGGGGAAUGUUGGACAAUGGGGGAAACCCUGAGCCAGCCAUCCCGCGUGUGCGAUGAAGGUCGUCGGGUUGUAAAGCACUGUUGGCAGGAAAGCGGUACCUGCAGAGUAAGCACCGGCUAACUACGUGCCAGCCGCCGCGGUAAUUC